GGGUCUAUUCGUGACAUGUGUGCCUCAGGAUUAUUGUGUAUCACAAUACGACGAAUCUGAUUCCCGACUGAAGACGCAUGAACAUUUCCAUCGUCAUUCAUGCAUUUGUCGUCCUCGUCGGGAUCACUAUCACUAUUUACCUUGUGAUCAAAAGGAUCACUACUAUGGUAUACAUCAUCACCAACCACAUCAGUCUCGAGUGCAGUAUUAAGAUCAAUGUCGAUCCCGCGUAUAGUCGAUUG
rnacentral:lncRNA from 1 species